GGUGAUAUGAUCUGGAAGACACAGAAAUAAAACGCCUAACUACAAGUUGAAUAGCAGGCAUUGACUUGCUGACCAACGCUUCCAUGCUUGGUGGGGGCUGGUUCUGUGGCUGCAAAGGUAGCAGAGCACAGGGCUAUGACAAUGGCUUGCAAAUGCUUUAACGCCAUGUUUUAUUGCUCUUAGGAGCUCUUACUAACUGGAGGUUUGGGAAUACGACUAAGACUUUAAUUUGGGAUGUCCACACUGAGGUUUCAGCCUUUCCUUGGAUAAUAGAAAAGGACAGUUGCAAAUAAGUAGGAUAAACUGCAUUCUUUGGCAGAGGGGGAGGGAAGAGGGAGAGGGUGGAGGAGGGUUUUUUUUUUUCUUCCCCUUUACUAGUUCUGUAACUGAGUCAAUAUUUUAAGGUCUGUAGCAGGAAUGUGGCUUUGUGAUCACUGAUCGUUCUGCAACGUGUUUUUUUUUUAAUGAGCAAUCUCGUCAUGCUGAGCAGAAUACUUGGAUUUUCGAUCUCACAGCUCUUUCCUGAAAUCAAGAUCUGAGUUUUCAAGUUUUGCCUUUUAAGUUUUUCAGGGUGGUGAAUAUGAAAAACAAAUAACUUUAGAACCAUGGUUAUUAACAGUGAUUAUUGAUUGGCUUGGCCUUCAGCCAAGCAACUCUUCAGCAUGCACCAGAGUUGCUGAUUUAAAUUCUGUGGAUUCUUUUUUUUUUUUUUUUUUCGUAAGUUAGCCUUUUUUAAUCUUUAAACAGCAUAGAUGGCAGUUGAGGAACAGUAGAUCAGUUUUUAGUUAAGGUUGUUCAAUUAUGUCUUCAUCGCUUUGGAGUUGGUUGAAUGACUUGACAUGAGAUUAAGCACAACAAAAGAAAAGGCAGGGGAACAACAGCUGCCUUCCAGUACCAGAGCUCCAGAUUCUGAGCACUUCAGCGUUUUACCUUUUACUGUUCCGUGGUGUCAGGUUUAAAUGUGCUGGAGUUUCUUUGUGGCACUGAACUUGGCCUUGAGUGUAUUUUACCCAAUGCAACUAUUUGAAAUAUUUGUGCAACAAAACUAAGUGCAACUGACUGUAUCUGUAGACUUGAAAAAUCUGAAGAAACAAUU